AUGAGCCCUGUAUGGUUUAAGAGGUGAUCAACUUACCGAGAGCUCUGACAGGUGCUCGGAGCUGUGUCUUCAUUUCUGGCCACAUCUGGGAUGGUUUCUUCAGGUUGGUGGCCUUCUGUUUCCUCUAGGGAGCCACUUUGGGAAAGGAAAGGUCCAGGUUCUCCAAUGCACUCUUCUUUCUGAUCUGUCUCUAUCUGAAUCAAAGGCACAUCCCUUGAGCAGAGUGACCGCCUAGGGCUGUUGAGACCAGCAGCAUUGUGGCAUGCAGAGGUUUCUCUUCUAGGAUCAAAAUCACUGGGUUUUUUAACAGGAGCUGUUUUGCCUGGAGAUGACACUGGGGAAUGAUUGCCUUCAGUAACAGCAUCUUUUCUCUGGUAAUCAACAGAUUCCUGUACAAGCAGAGUUGGCCCCCUGUGUCCUUUGCUGGUGGCUAAUCUGUUGGCAUUCUUCUCUACUUGCAAAGGAGAACCACUGGAAACAGGGCCAGGACUGGCAUUAGCUGCCUCGCUAUCAUCAGCAAUGAUUUUGUUCUUUCUCAUGAGAGCCUCAAUGGAGCUGGCCCAUGUUUCAUGAAUUAGCAUGUUUGUGAUCUGGUCAGUCCCACUUCUGCGAUACAAGCAGGAAUCUGAUUUGCAGAGGCCAGAUGAGGAAGCCCUACUGACUGGCUGUACAUUUACAGAAUCUUGAGGGCAGUUUUGGGCAAAGCCAUCUAAGGAGUUGGCUUUGACAGGCGCAUUUACUGUUAGUCUGGAGCAUGGCGACCUGCUGUCAGGCAUAGAUGACUGUCUGUAACACAGAGGGGAUCGUGUAGAAGGAGACAGCAGGCCCGUGGUCCAAUCAUGGCUGCUACGUCUGGAGGAGGCACCAUCUUUGCUUUCUUUCGCGAUGUCCCUUAACAUGUACCUAUAGAACUCCUCUGUUAUGCUCUCUGUACUGGAUUGCUUAGAGGGGCAGCUCGGUCUCACGUUGAGGUGGUCGUUUUUCUGGCAUGCCUGCUGCAUCGCUGAGCUCAUGAUACUGCUGGCAUUUUUGCCUGCGUAGUAAUCCAGCAGCAACUCAAACCCUCUCCCUUCGUUUUCCAUCUGUUUCACCAUGAACCUGGAAAACUCAUCGGUGAUGCUCUCACAGCUGGACUGUUUGGAGACGGAGCUGGCCCUGCUAACUGGUUGGCUUAAGGUACUCAUCAAACCCAGGCUGUUUACAAAGACCCUGGCUUCAGAGUCCUCCUCAGGAAUGCUCUCACAGCUUGAGGCCUUCAGCCGGUUCCACCUAUCGCCACCCAGAAGCCGAGUCCGGGAACAACUCUGGCCUUGCCACACCCCAUCCACCAUGGAAAACUCUGUGAGGUUCAUGAUCUUGGCUGCCACUUCAUUGGCAAAGGUACUGACGGAAUCAGGGAUGUCUUCGAGGUUCAUGGACUCAUCCAUGACUCUGUUCAUCAGCUUCUCUUUCAGCUCUGGGUGCUCAUCAGCUUUUCUCUUGAUUUCACUGAGGCGAGGUGGCUUGUGUUUCCUCACGGUGCUUCCGGCGCUUGAGUUUUCCUUCUUCCUCUUCAAGGAUCGGCAGGAUCCGUUAGGCGCCGUUAAAAACUCGUUCCCUCUUUUCCAAGCACAAAACCAGGGCUGUUUGCCAUUGGAGUUGUCAAGGCAGAUUGCUGCAAUUUCAGUUGCCAUGGAGACAACAGUCUCUGCCAAUUCUUCCGCAAAAUCUGUGAUGCCAUAGACCUCGGACUGCUUUGCCUCUAGAGUAGACUGAGCAGGAACAGACAGGUCAUCACCUAAUAAGGAUAGGUUAACUUGAGCUUCAUUGUUUAGGGGUGUGGCACAGAUGUAUUUCUCUUGGGUGUUUGGAACAAUGCUGUCUUCAGUUUCCUGGAAACCACUACAACCCUCGCUUGCUGUUGUCAAUUUUCCUAGCAAGCAGAGACUAAUGCAUCAACCAAGAUGACAUGGCUGGAAACCUUUCUCAUCAGUGUCGUAGUAAGGGGUAGGGUGAAUAACCUCGGGGGACACACUUGGUUUAUCAGCAACGUCUUACCACUUCUGCAGUCGUCCACCUCGAUUUCUUCCUCCAAAUGCUCGGAGGCUGUAAGAAAAUCUUCUUCAAUUGAAGACAGAGAACAGUUUGUAUCAUCCUCCAGCUUCAACACGUUCGUCUCCAGGUGGAGCUGACGCUCCUGCACUACUUCCAGACCAAUUAAGAACUUGUUGAUCUCAAAGAUGAUGCAGUUGGUACUGUUUGGUCUGUUCCCUCUUGCACACUGGACCAAGCAGAUAUCUGGUAGCCAAGGGCACUAAAAUCAGAUAGAAAAGAAGGCACUUCCUCAAAAUUGACUGGAAAAGACAAUGUUGGCAACCAUUUUCUCCUUCCCAACCUCUCCCGUGAAAAGGAGAGGGGCUCUUAAAAUUAUAUGAAGUAUCUUCAGAGCUCCUGCUCAUGAACUGUUUUUUUUAAAAAAUCAUAUGGCAUUUCGGAAUGUGGCACACCUAGAAGGAAGUUUUACUUAAAAGAAAACAACCAGCUGUAUCAUAUAUUUGAGGUUUUUCUCAUGAAAGCAG
rnacentral:lncRNA from 1 species